UUACUUACCUGGCGUAACGUACCAUCGUGAUCACGAAGGCGGUUCCCCUAGAAUGAGAUUCGACCAUUACACUAUGGUUCGGUUGAUCUUUGCGAUUGUUCCUAAUGCGGAUAACUUGGACGCGUAAAUGAUGGUAAUGGGGACUGCGCACGCGCCGUCUCCC